rnacentral:rRNA from 1 species
CAGUCGCCGCGGGAAUACGAAGGGGGCUAGCGUUGCUCGGAAUGACUGGGCGUAAAGGGCGCGUAGGCGGAUUGCGCAGUCAGAUGUGAAAUUCCUGGGCUUAACCUGGGGGCUGCAUUUGAGACGCGUAGUCUAGAGUGUGAAAGAGGGUCGUGGAAUUCCCAGUGUAGAGGUGAAAUUCGUAGAUAUUGGGAAGAACACCGGUGGCGAAGGCGGCGACCUGGUUCAUAACUGACGCUGAGGCGCGAAAGCGUGGGAGCAAACAGGAUUAGAUACCCCAGUAGUCCCUGUCUCUUAUACA